rnacentral:rRNA from 1 species
UACGUAGGGCGCAAGCGUUGUCCGGAAUUAUUGGGCGUAAAGAGCUCGUAGGCGGUUUGUCGCGUCUGCUGUGAAAGCCCGGGGCUCAACCCCGGGUCUGCAGUGGGUACGGGCAGACUAGAGUGCGGUAGGGGAGAUUGGAAUUCCUGGUGUAGCGGUGAAAUGCGCAGAUAUCAGGAGGAACACCGGUGGCGAAGGCGGGUCUCUGGGCCGAUACUGACGCUGAGGAGCGAAAGCGUGGGGAGCGAACAGG